ACAAUCUACACACUUAACACACAGCCACUCAUUCUACACACUUUACACACACAGACACUUAAUCUACACACUUAACACCCCAACACUCAAUCUACACACUUUACACACACAAUCUACACACUUAACACACAGCCACUCAUUCUACACACUUUACACACACAGACACUUAAUCUACACACUUUACACACACAGACGCUCAAUCUACACACUUUACACACACAGACACUUAAUCUACACACUUAACACACAGACACUCAAUCUACACACACAGGCACUCAAUCUACACACUUUACACACAC